UGCAAGUCGAACGGACUUAACCGAAAUAUUUAUAUUUUGGAGCGGUUAGUGGCGGACUGGUGAGUAACGCGUAAGCAAUCUGCCUAUUAGAGGGGAAUAACAGUGAGAAAUCAUUGCUAAUACCGCAUAUGCCAUGAACAUCGCAUGAUGAAAAUGGGAAAGGAGUAAUCCACUAAUAGAUGAGCUUGCGUCUGAUUAACUAGUUGGUGUGGUAAUGGCAUACCAAGGUAACGAUCAGUAGCCGGACUGAGAGGUUGAACGGCCACAUUGGGACUGAGAUACGGCCCAGACUCCUACGGGAGGCAGCAGUCGGGAAUAUUGCGCAAUGGAGGAAACUCUGACGCAGUGACGCCGCGUAUAGGAUGAAGGUUUUCGGAUUGUAAACUAUUGUCAUUAGGGAAGAUAAAAGACAGUACCUAAGGAGGAAGCUCCGGCUAACUACGUGCCAGCAGCCGCGGUAAUACGUAGGGAGCAAGCGUUAUCCGGAUUUAUUGGGUGUAAAGGGUGCGUAGACGGGAGAUUAAGUUAGUUGUGAAAGCCCUUGGCUUAACUGAGGAAUUGCAACUAAAACUGGUUUUCUUGAGUGCAGGAGAGGUAAGUGGAAUUCCUAGUGUAGCGGUGAAAUGCGUAGAUAUUAGGAGGAACACCAGUGGCGAAGGCGACUUACUGGACUGUAACUGACGUUGAGGCACGAAAGUGUGGGGAGCAAACAGGAUUAGAUACCCUGGUAGUCCACACCGUAAACGAUGGAUACUAGGUGUAGGAUGUGUUAAACAUUCUGUGCCGUCGCAAACGCAGUAA
rnacentral:rRNA from 1 species